rnacentral:rRNA from 1 species
CUCAGACGAACGCUGGUAGCGUGGAUUAGGCAUGCAAGUCGAACGGGAUCAGCCGGUUAGCAAUAAUUGGCUGUGAGAGUGGCGGAUUGGGGAGGAACACGUGAGCAACCUGGCCCUUGAGUUGGGGGAAAAACCGUUGGAAACGACGGCUAAUACCGGAUGUGGCGCCCGGAGACAUCUUCGGAGCGCUAAAGGGGGCCGCAAGGCUCCCGCUCGAGGAGGGGCUCGCGCACCAUCAGCUUGUGCGGGGUAACGGCCCACCAAGGCAUACGGUUAGCUGGUCUGAGAGGAUGACCAGCCCCACUGGGACUGAGAUACUGCCCAGACUCCUACGGGAGGCUGCAGUCGAGGAUCAUUUGCAAUGGGCGAAAGCCUGACAAUGCGACGCUGCGUGGAGGAUGAAGGCCUUCGGGUUGUAAACUCCUGUCAUGAGGGAACAGGCGAGGGUACCCAAUACGUACCUUAGUUGAGUGUACUUCAAGAGGAAGGGACGGCUAACUCUGUGCCAGCCGCUGC